GGCUCGGUACCUUAGUUGGUAAAGCACUUGUCUAGCGAAUAAGGGUCGUGAGUCCAAAUCUCACCUGAGCUG
rnacentral:tRNA from 1 species